rnacentral:rRNA from 1 species
GGAAAUUGCCCUGAUGUGGGGGAUAACCAUUGGAAACGAUGGCUAAUACCGCAUGAUGCCUACGGGCCAAAGAGGGGGACCUUCGGGCCUCUCGCGUCAGGAUAUGCCUAGGUGGGAUUAGCUAGUUGGUGAGGUAAGGGCUCACCAAGGCGACGAUCCCUAAGCUGGUUCUGAGAAGGAUGAUCAGCCACACUGGAACUGAGACACGGUCCAGACUCCUACGGGAGGCAGCAGUGGGGAAUAUUGCACAAUGGGCGCAAGCCUGAUGCAGCCAUGCCGCGUGUGUGAAGAAGGCCUUCGGGUUGUAAAGCACUUUCAGUCGUGAGGAAGGUGGUAGUGUUAAUAGCACUAUCAUUUGACGUUAGCGACAGAAGAAGCACCGGCUAACUCCGUGCCAGCAGCCGCGGUAAUACGGAGGGUGCGAGCGUUAAUCGGAAUUACUGGGCGUAAAGCGCAUGCAGGUGGUUUGUUAAGUCAGAUGUGAAAGCCCGGGGCUCAACCUCGGAAUUGCAUUUGAAACUGGCAGACUAGAGUACUGUAGAGGGGGGUAGAAUUUCAGGUGUAGCGGUGAAAUGCGUAGAGAUCUGAAGGAAUACCGGUGGCGAAGGCGGCCCCCUGGACAGAUACUGACACUCAGAUGCGAAAGCGUGGGGAGCAAACAGGAUUAGAUACCCUGGUAGUCCACGCCGUAAACGAUGUCUACUUGGGAGGUUGUGGCCUUGAGCCGUGGCUUUCGGAGCUAACGCGUUAAGUAGACCGCCUGGGGAGUACGGUCGCAAGAUUAAAACUCAAAUGAAUUGACGGGGGCCCGCACAAGCGGUGGAGCAUGUGGUUUAAUUCGAUGCAACGCGAAGAACCUUACCUACUCUUGACAUCCAGAGAACUUUCCAGAGAUGGAUUGGUGCCUUCGGGAACUCUGAGACAGGUGCUGCAUGGCUGUCGUCAGCUCGUGUUGUGAAAUGUUGGGUUAAGUCCCGCAACGAGCGCAACCCUUAUCCUUGUUUGCCAGCGAGUAAUGUCGGGAACUCCAGGGAGACUGCCGGUGAUAAACCGGAGGAAGGUGGGGACGACGUCAAGUCAUCAUGGCCCUUACGAGUAGGGCUACACACGUGCUACAAUGGCGCAUACAGAGGGCGGCCAACUUGCGAAAGUGAGCGAAUCCCAAAAAGUGCGUCGUAGUCCGGAUUGGAGUCUGCAACUCGACUCCAUGAAGUCGGAAUCGCUAGUAAUCGUGGAUCAGAAUGCCACGGUGAAUACGUUCCCGGGCCUUGUACACACCGCCCGUCACACCA